UGUGGGAAUGGGGGCUGGGGUAGUGAGGGUCUAGGGUCAGGGGAAGAGGAAAUUGUGGAAAUGGGGAUUGGAAGAGAGGGAACUGAAUAGCAGAAGCUAAGGGAUGUGGGCCUGACAGAAGGUUGAAUUCAGGAAUGGUAGGGAGCGUGCGAGAGAUUAACUGAGGUUCAGUGGGUGUGAGGUAAAGUAAUACUGAAGGAGGGCAGUCUAAGAGUCAGGGACAUCGAACUGAGAAAUUUGCACCUAACUGAUUGAAAAUUUGCAACACUGAGGAACUCAGGAACAUUGCAACAAAUUUCCUACUUUACUCCAAAAGAUGUUGCAGUGCAGUUUUGUUUUAACCCAAAGACACCUGGUGUCAGUUUCUCCCCACUUGUCCUUCUCAAUGUGGCUAAAAAGACUGAAGAAAAUCAGAAAACUGAAAAGGAAAUUAUCUAACAAAAGCCUUAGGAUCAACUAUCAAAGUGUAGGACACCAUCACUUAACAGGAUGAGCGAAUCGCUGGCCAGGCAGCAUUUAUUGCCUGUCCCUAACAACCCAGAGGGCAGUUCGGAGUCAACCACGUUGCUCUAGGUCUGGAGUCAUGUGUAGGCCAGAUCAGUAUUUCUCAAUGUGCCUGGCGAGCUGUGUCAUUGCCAUACGGUAAAGGAUACAAUGAUCAUCAAUGCUGCUCAGUGAAAAUCGGGUGUUUGAAAAUCGAGCAAAUCCAUCUCUAUAUAACCACGCUUUCAGAGGAACAUACUGUAUUGUGCGAGAGAGGAGAUGAAAUUCAAGCUGCCAUUGUUGUAUCUGUUGAACGUCUGCAAUUUUGUACUUCGCUCAACAAUCUCCAACGUAUCCCAUUGAGCCUGGAUUGCCAACCUUUCAAGUUUCUCCUCUUUAUCUAUAUUUAUCUCAUCCAAUAUCCUGUCAAUUUCCAUUGUUCCGGUGUCAUAUUCUUCCUUACGAAAUCAGAAGGCAAACUCAUUGGGUACCUGCACUAACUGAUCUCUCCCUUUGAGACACCAAUUCACAUCAAGAGCCAUUUAAUGAACCUUUUCACUGUUCAUAUGCCCACUGAAGAGCACUGGAUUUCCAGCUUAUUGAAGUAGUACACAUGUAGCAUGUCCUGGAACACAUCCAGGUUUGGGCUGAUAAAUGGAAAUGCCAAACAGUGACCACCUUAAACAAGGGAAAGAUCAUCUCAAUCUCCCUUCAACAUUUAAUGGCAUUACUAUCAUUCAGUUCCUCCUAUUAUCAACUUCUUGGGGUUAUCAUCGACCAGAAACUUAACUGGACCAGCCACGUUAAUGUUGUGGCAACAAAAACAGGUCAGAACCUGGGAGUUCUGCAGCAAGUAAUUCAACCACUGACUCCUCAACGCCUGACUACUAGCUACAAGGCACAUGUCAAGAGUGUAAUGGACUUGCCCGAAUGAGUGUAGCUCCAACAACCCUCAAGAAUCUCAACACCAUCCAGGACAAAGCAGCCUGCUGGAUAGGAAUCCCAUUCUCCACCUUAAAAUUCACACCCUCCACACCCAACACCCAGCAAUGUCUGACUAAGCCUCCUUCAACAGCAUCUGCAAAAACCUUGAUCUUUACACCUGGAAAGACAAGAGCAGCAGAUGCAUUGGAACACUACCACCUGUACGAUUCCUUCUAAUGAAACAUCAUUCCCUUUACUGGAACUAUAUAACCAUUCUUUCAGUGUCAUUAGGUCAACUGGGAACUCUAUCCCCAACAGCACGGUGGAUGUUCCGACAUUUUAUGAACUGCAGUACUACAAGGUAACUCACACCCACCUUCUCAAAGACAAUUAUACAUGAACAAUGCCAAUGUAACCAGUGAUGCCCAUAUCCCAUGAAUGAAUCAAUUAGCAAAACCUCAAAGGCUCUGUUACAGAUGGUACAAAUAAUUCAAAUUCAUCUAUUCAGCAGUCCAAUUCA